UACGUAGGGGGCAAGCGUUGUCCGGAAUCAUUGGGCGUAAAGCGCGUGUAGGCGGCUCGAUAAGUCUGCUGUGAAAGUCCAGGGCUCAACCCUGGGAUGCCGGUGGAUACUGUCGAGCUCGAGUCCGGAAGAGGCGAGUGGAAUUCCUGGUGUAGCGGUGAAAUGCGCAGAUAUCAGGAGGAACACCAAUGGCGAAGGCAGCUCGCUGGGACGUGACUGACGCUGAGGCGCGAAAGCGUGGGGAGCAAACAGG
rnacentral:rRNA from 1 species